rnacentral:rRNA from 1 species
GCCAAGAGCGGGCCAUCGGGUGGGGGAAGACGUAGGAUGCGAGGGUUGUGCGGAAUUAGUGGGCGUAAAGGGCUCGGGGGCGGUUUGUCACGGCGGGAGGGAAAACGCGGGGCUCAACCCCGGGCCUGCUUCCGAUACGGGCAGACUAGAGGUAUGCAGGGGAGAACGGAAUUCCUGGUGUAGCGGUGAAAUGCGCAGAUAUCAGGAGGAACACCGGUGGCGAAGGCGGUUCUCUGGGCAUUACCUGACGCUGAGGAGCGAAAGUGUGGGGAGCGAACAGGAUUAGAUACCCUAGUAGUC